AGAGUUUGAUCAUGGCUCAGAUUGAACGCUGGCGGCAUGCCUAACACAUGCAAGUCGAACGGCAGCACAGUGCGUAGCAAUACGUAUGGGUGGCGAGUGGCGGACGGGUGAGGAAUGCAUCGGAAUCUACCCAGUAGCGGGGGAUAACCUGGGGAAACUCAGGCUAAUGCCGCAUACGACCUAAGGGUGAAAGCGGGGGACCGUAAGGCCUCGCACUAUUGGAUGAGCCGAUGCCGGAUUAGCUAGUUGGUAGGGUAACGGCCUACCAAGGCGACGAUCCGUAGCUGGUCUGAGAGGACGAUCAGCCACACCGGAACUGAGACACGGUCCGGACUCCUACGGGAGGCAGCAGUGGGGAAUAUUGGACAAUGGGGGAAACCCUGAUCCAGCAAUGCCGCGUGUGUGAAGAAGGCCUGCGGGUUGUAAAGCACUUUCGGAGGGGACAAAAAGCGUCGGGCUAACACCCAGGCGUCUUGAUUUAACCCUAUAAGAAGCUC
rnacentral:rRNA from 1 species